AUUGAACGCUGGCGGCAGGCUUAACACAUGCAAGUCGAACGAGUGGCGGACGGGUGAGUAAUGCUUGGGAAUCUAUCUUCUGGAGGGGGAUACCUACGGGAAACUGUAGCUAAUACCGCGUACCAUAGGAUGAGCCCAAGUGGGAUUAGGUAGUUGGUGAGGUAAAGGAGAACCAAGCCGACGAUCUCUAGCUGGUCUGAGAGGAUGACCAGAAAAACGGGGACUGAGAAACGGCCCAGAGUCCGACGGGAGGCAGAAGUGGGGAAUAUUGCACAAUGGGGGAAAGCUGAUGCAGACAUGCGGAGUGAAUGAAGAAGGACUUCGGGUUGUAAAGUUCUUUCGGUAGCGAGGCGUUAACUACAGAAGAAGCACCGGCUAACUCCGUGCCAGCAGCCGCGGUAAUUC
rnacentral:rRNA from 1 species